CGACUCGCACGAGAUCCCUUGGUCGCCGCCCUCGCACUCGCAUCCUUCGCCGCCGCCCUCGCACAUCAAGCCGCCGUCGAUCCCUGCGCUACUACGGGAGCCGCCGCCGAUCCCAUUGAGGAGCCGCCGCCGAUGACGGGAGACGCCGCCUAUCCCGUUGAGGAGCCGCCGCCGAUGACGGGAGACGCCGCACGCUGACCUACCCCUCCCCAAUCCCUAGCAUCGCACCUCUUCCCGUCUGGCGCCUCCUACCUCGGCUGGGCGGUGGCCUCGAGUGCCUCUUCUUCCCCAAUGCGGCCUCAACCAACGACGCUGCACCCCCGUGAUGACUCCGCCCCACGAUUCCCAUCGGUCGGCGCCUCGCCAGCAGUGACCUCCCCCUCCAUGUAUCAUGUGAUCCGGUCGUGCGCCACCGCCUCUCUAGGCGCUUAGAUCCAGGCUUCCAGAAGGGGGUAGGGGUGGAGGCGGCAGCGGAGGGGACAGGGAUGUGGACCGGAGAAACUACAUGGUGGAGGCACAACAAAGCGUUCAAGCACGGCACCCCAUCGCAUGCAGCUGCAGCCAGCGGCAGGUGUUGGGCACUUUGAGGUAUGCAAACCUUCUCAGAGCAAGGGGAGCAAGAGUACCGGUACUGCAUUUCUUAUCUUCAUCACUCAAAAUUCCCAGAACUAAUCGUGAGCUCUUGCUUUGAUACAGAACUAAUCUUGAAGGUGAUAGCCCUGUUUCUUCCCUGUUUUAGAUCAACCGUUCUUCUUUCUUCCUUGGAGCUCCACUGUUUUGGAUGAACUGGACUAACCCUAGAAGGGAUGAAGGUCAUCCACGAGGUGUCUCAAGGUGAACCCCGUGGUACCCGACCAAGUGGCUGGAGGGAAUGGUGUAUGCUCACAAGUUUGUACAGACCAAUUUGUUUCACUCGGACAAGAAUCCCACGAACCUUAAUGUGGCCUUUAAGUUUCAGGUCCUUGGGGUUGGAUGCGGCAACUCGCGGCUCGAAGACAAUCUUUUGUGGUGGGGCGUCGCCGCCGCCGGCGGCACCUGCAUAGACCGUAUCGCUGGGAACGAAGAGAUGCUCCCCUGAUUUGGAGCUGUAGAAAGGAAGUGGUUGCAGACACAAAGUGGGGACACACAACUCCCAGUCAUAAUAUUCUUUAUCUUGGCUCGUUGUUUGGGGAUGGACGCAUCAAUCUGAUGGCGCUCUCCUCCAUGCCAAACGGAUCUUUGGUUCGGAGGCGCGCGGCGCCGACGAUGACAACCUUUCUAUCGACGCAAGGGCAGCAGGAGCUCAUGACGCUGUUGAUGCCACCACCAUGCAUGGGGUUGAUGCAAGGUGGGACAAUGCGAUCACUAAUGGGGAGAACAUAAAACUUCAAUUGAGGGCACUGUGAUUCUCUAGCUACAUGUAUCAUGGUCACCAACCACACAUGUAAAAACCAUGUCUCCCUACUGUAAUUUGAUGAUUUAUUUACAUGUGGCACAGAAUAGUUCAGAGUUCACUCCGAGAAAGAAUUGCUUUGCAUGUACAUUUGCUAAAAGACGGAUGUGCUGAACUUUCGACGGUUCCGAUUGGUAUUCAACGUGAGGAAUUUUAUACUUUUGGAGUGGAGCUAUCAAAUAUAUAUUAUGAGUUUCUAAAACAUCUAUUAUAAGGAGUUGAACAGAGCUUCCUCUGCCCCGGCAGAUUCUGAGAAAACUAACCAGCAGAGAACAUGAACAAAUAUAGUGAUGAGAAAGGGUGGAGCUGAGUACACCACACAUGGAUAUGAUGGUCUCCCCUAUGUUCUUUUUGGCAAUCCAGUUAAUCACUGACUCAACUUUGUAUGGGGCGCUUCCGAUGCACAAAUGGUGGCGGUGAAGCAGCAGGCCCGAGAGAGCGUGCAGGGGAGGAAGGAGUUCCUGGUGGAGGUGCUGAUACUGGCGGUGCUCAGCCACCCUAACUUCGUCAGCCUGAUCGGCUUCUGCACGCAGGGGACAAGCGGCUGCUGUUGU